rnacentral:rRNA from 1 species
UACGUAGGGUGCGAGCGUUGUCCGGAAUUAUUGGGCGUAAAGAGCUCGUAGGCGGCUUGUCGCGUCGGAUGUGAAAGCCCCGGGGCUUAACUCCGGGUCUGCAUUCGAUACGGGCAGGCUAGAGUUCGGUAGGGGAGAUCGGAAUUCCUGGUGUAGCGGUGAAAUGCGCAGAUAUCAGGAGGAACACCGGUGGCGAAGGCGGAUCUCUGGGCCGAUACUGACGCUGAGGAGCGAAAGCAUGGGUAGCGAACAGG